CACACGUCUCAUACGUCGUUGUAUUUUUCUGUGGUAUUACUAUUUACUCAAAGCGUGCACAUGCGUUUUUCCGUUUUUUCCAGUUGUUUUUGUGUUUUAACUGUGCAUGUUGGCCGCCAUCGCUUGAAGUUCUUGAACAUCGUAGUUUUUUAUAACAACGAGUAUAUAUUAAUCGUAAACUUAAGAAGUUUUUUAAUUUUGAGACGCUGAUGGAAUACUCUAUAUAAAGGAUGGUAUCUGCACACAAAUAAAGUAAAAUAAUAUAAACUUACAAUUAUGGAACACAAAGGUCAAAGAGAAUACAGUCAUCCAUACAAAAAUCAUAACUUCAGAAAUAGAUAUGGGACGAAAAAACCAGACAAUAUUAAGAACAAGUAUCAAGAAAAAAUAAUAAAAAAACAUUUCGGAUUCAAACACCUGGAAGAGUUGAGCAACAAAGAAUCUUCGGAUAUUGUAUUUGUAAUAUGUAAUCAAUCUAAUGGUUUUAUAGAUUUAUUUAAACAAAACAAAGAUCCAGACUGGUUAUUUUUACUUAUGAAGAUUACUGCAAAGAUUUGCAAUACCGAUUUUUUGGUGAGCAAGCAGUCUAUAUUAAUUGAAAUAUGUUGGAACUCAAUAUUUAUUGAUCAUUUGAAGUCGUACA